rnacentral:misc_RNA from 1 species
UUAACUAUUAUAUAGUACUCAGACAUUAUAGACAAACAGAGUUUAGGGUCCUCUGGCAGGCACGGACCAGCCUAAGCCAGUGGUCAUAAGACGGGCCUGCCAAAGCAACAAAGGUAAUGUAAACAAAGGGUAGGAGAUCUACCCCAAAGGGCAAUUUCUCUGUAAUGAUCCUUCCGCAGGUUCACCUACGGAAA